ACGCUCGACACCUACGGAGGCAGCAGUGGGGAAUAUUGCACAAUGGGGGAAACCCUGAUGCAGCGACGCCGCGUGAAGGAAGAAGUAUCUCGGUAUGUAAACUUCUAUCAGCAGGGAAGAAAAUGACGGUACCUGACUAAGAAGCCCCGGCUAACUACGUGUCAGCAGCCGCGGUAAUCUGAGCGGGCUGGCAAGGC
rnacentral:rRNA from 1 species